UCAUCCCCUCAAUUGCGGAUCAACUCGCCCCUCCCUACUGCUCCGCCUCCCUCCUCACAACCGCAUGUCGCCGAUUCCCUGCCGCAUCUGCUCGUCGCCCCUCACGCCCAGCCGGCCACUCCGCCCAGCGCCGUCUGCCGCCGAAGCCCGUCGCCAUCGCGUCCGGCCACCGGCGGUUGCCAACCCCCACCCCUGGCGACUACUCCGCCGUCCACGAUUUGUCGCAGCCGCCCAUCGUCCGCGGCCACAUAGCCGCGCGAUCCCUCAUCACUAUAUCCCCGUCGCGCCGCCUAACCAUCUCCAGAUCACCACGACGAUUCCUCCAGAUUAGAGCGAAGAGCUGCUCCCCAUCCUCGGCUCCUCCGUUGGGACCGAGAAGCUAUGUGGCGAACCUCCAACCAAGCAUCGCCAGAGAGGACAGAGCUGGGGCCGAGGUGGGGAGAAGAGGAGCACACGCCGGUCGGCCCGUCCGUCACUGCCACUGGGCUCCCACCUCCCGCUUUCGUGCCGACUGCCGCUACUCUUCCGGAUUGGCAGAGCCCAAGCAGUAGGAGGCACCGACGAAGGUGAUGAAGACUUGAGAUGAGGCAGUAUGCAGGCUUGCAGAGAUGCAAAUUAGGUGCUAAUUUCUUCAGGGCACCCUUCUUGCAGCAGGAAUUGCUCAAAUCAGCACUCAAAGCUCGUGAGUCAUGAAUACACACUCCGCUGAGUGAACAUUAGGAGUCAUGUAUCUUGCAGCGGGUGCAGGAGCACAUGCCAAGUUCUGACAAGUACAUGUAAAGUUCUUCUUUUAUUGAACAACACUUGAUUAGUGCUUACUAAUCAGCCAUGUAGAGUUAUGUAAUCAAUCCUUUUGUUUUCCUUUUACUAGGUUUUUGAGACUUAGCCUGAGAGAUGUUCCAAUUAUGAAUAAGUUCAUGAUUUAAAACCGACCUGAUGUAUGGGAACUACUAUAGAAGACGGUUCCAAUUGUGAAUAAGCUCAUGAUUUAAAACUGAUCUGAUGUAUGGAACUACUAUAGAAGUGUGGAUUAAUUAAAAUUAUUGGCAACUCAGGCCUUCAUUUUACAUUUUUAA